rnacentral:rRNA from 1 species
UUUCGACCUGAGGUCAGGCAAGAACACCCGCUGAAA